rnacentral:tRNA from 1 species
GCCUCCUUAGCUCAGUUGGCCAGAGCACCUGUCUUGUAAACAGGGGGUCAGCGGUUCGAAUCCGCUAGGAGGCU